GAAUGACCAAAAUGAUGGAUGGUGGAAAAUCUCAGGGACCACUUUUAUCGAUUAGGAAUCUCAGGGACCAAAGUGAUGAGUUAAGCAAAUCACACCAUUUUGGCGAUUUACCUCUUGACAAAUGAAUAGGCAAAUUGAAAUUUAAGACAAAAAUUAACCAAUAAUAUUGUGGCCGUAGACAACAAGAAGUUAAUUUCUCUAGUUAAUCGCUUAUAUAGCAUCUUCUUUCUAGUUAGCUAAAUAGAUUCUUGUUUGUUUAGUCGACAAAACUUGCUUCGUGCUUGUUUUGCGGCCCUAGCUGCACCUACAUGAUCAGUUCAUCAAACAAAGACACAAAGGAACAGUGAUAAUGAUUUAAAAAUAUGCAUGUGACAUAUAUAUAAACCUUAUUAUGUAACUGCUCAAUGUGUGCACAUUUUAAAUAUAAAGGUCUCUGAUAUAGGCAAGCCUUUGACGUUACCAUAUGGGUUUUCUUUUAAGUUAUUGUAUCUAGGUCAACUUUCGCACUUGGAACACUUUAGGUCCUAUAGGAUUAGUGUUUGUUUAGUGUUUUUGGUUCUUCUACAUGUUUAACAAAAGAUAUUUAUGCACUAAACCAAUAAACACGUCGCAUCUGUAAUAUAUUAACGGUGCUGAUAAUUUGUCUUUAAUCUUAGUUUUUCAUUUGUGCAUGUGCAAUUUUAUAUCUAGAAUAUGAGUGGUAUCUGUUGGGGUCAAAACUCGACAGAGUCUUACUAGAUUUAACAUGUAUUUGUCUCGAGUAUUGUUUGCAUCUCAGUGCCACGAGAUGGUUUGAGAGAAAGUGAAUAGGUGUGCUAGUGUUGGAGGCUGUCAACAGACAUAGUGCGUAUAGAUUUGCGUUGUGCUUGUGCGUAUGUCUAUCUUCUUAACCAAAUGAAUGUACACCAAAUAGGACAUUGAUUGAGUUAAGUUCUUUUUUAUGCCUCGAUCAAACGAGGACUUUGUAGUGCGAGAUAAGUGUUUGCCUAAGUUAUAAUUGAAAUGAAAUAGAAAUAAAGACAAGAAACAGAAUGUAAUUUUUUUUAUGAUGGAAUCAAGAUUACAACAAUUUACAAAAGAGAGUCAAGACUAAUGAGCCAGUCUACAUGACUUCAAACGUAAGUGAACUUGAAAAUUUAAAGAAAUCAGUAAAUCUCUAGCAAGAUUCAUGCCAUAUAAGCCGGAAUAAUUCCAGAAGAGUCCAUUGAUAUCAUGAAUGUCGGAUUGGAAUGAGUAGGAAACAUUGUCUCAAAUAGGUGAUCCUAGGAUGUGUUUGCAAAAUCCUAUUCUCAGAUUUCACUAUUGUAAUUUACGAGUUUCGUAUUUGUAGGAUUUUAUAUUAUUUCUUUUUGUUAAUUUUAGAACUUUAAUUAACUAGUUACAAAUCUUGAAUCUCCGUAAUUAGUUAUUGAAAAAACGUGGACCUUUUGAGGUCACUUUGAAUAUUUUUGGAAAGAGCUCGAUCCCACAAACGCGUAGACAAAAACCAUUUGGUAAAUGAAGUUGUAACGAAGGAGAAAUAAGCAAGCAAAGUCCUAGGCAAUUUUUGUCAUUUGGAUUAUAUAUGUUGAGGGCUCUAGAAAACCGAGAGCAGGUCGACCAAAUGGUAGCUGCUCGGAACCCCCUCGACAUGCAAAUAACCUGGUUGCAGACUCAGUUUCUGCAAAUGUUUCUAAUGCCAUUUCAGGCGUUUUUUGGCAAAUUGAGGCCACCCACCACCACAAUACAACUCAACAACACUCCAAGAUUGUUUUCCACCCAAACUCGACCUAUUUUCAUCACUGUUUCCCGACAAACAGUGCUCAUCAUUUUUUU
rnacentral:lncRNA from 1 species